rnacentral:tRNA from 1 species
GCGGGGGUUGCCGAGUAUGGUCAAAGGCGCAGGCUUCAGGAGCCUGUCUCGUAGGAGUUCGUGGGUUCGAAUCCCACCCCCCGCACCA